rnacentral:RNase_P_RNA from 1 species
AGGGUAAGGGUGAAACGGUGCGGUAAGAGCGCACCGCGCAGCUGGUAACAGAUGUGGCUAGGUAAACCCCACUCGGAGCAAGGCCAAAUAGGGAAGCUAAAGGCGUGACCCGCGCUGCUUCCGGGUAGGCUGCUUGAGAGCUAUGGUGACAUAGACUCCAGAUGAAUGAUUGUCCUCGACAGAAUCCGGCUUAUCGGCCUACUCGCCAU